rnacentral:lncRNA from 1 species
GGGACAUUGACGCAUUUUGCUAACAAUGAUAUAAGAUACACAUAACCUAUGUAGGUUCAAGGAAGAAGAAACAGAAUUAACUGCAGUAUGUGGUCAUCAGUGCCAAACACUAUUCUAUGCAGCCUUUGAUCUUUAUCAAAAAUAAGGUGAUUAAACAAAUUACUAAAGAUAAAACGAUUAAAAUGGACAGACUGGCCAUUCUGAAAGCCAUUCAUUCCCUGCAGGCUGGUGCCACAUGAAUACAUAAAAUGCUUUUUUUUUUCUAGGACCAAAAAGCACUUGCAGGAUUUGUUGCGAGUUUCAACUCUUUCACCCCAAGUUCCAUGCCCAUCUUUCUUAUUGGGUGAAUGGGAGCCUACUCUCCUCAGACUUUAAAGUGGGAGCAGAGCUGCGUCAUUCAGAGUGUGAAUUUCUACACACGGCCCAGGUGUGCUUGCCAGCGGGCAGGACCUCCCACAGCACCAUACACAGAAUGGGCACCCAGUGCAUUGUGAUACCAAAAGAAAUUUGCCAGAAUAUUCCACACUCAUCAAUAAAGCGGAAGGCCCUGGAAGUGUUGACAACAUCUAGAUGAUGGACAGAAUGCAGUGGAGUCUGUUUCUGGCAGUCUGGAGCGUGAGACCAGUACGUGGAACCCCAUUCCAGACGCGUAUGUCACAAAACUACAUCCAGGACCAUGGCGUCGUCUCAGAGACAACUAAGGCAGAAAGUGUGGCUAACUCACCACAGACCGGACCCUGCCGCCGCCAAAGUGAAUUCAGAGGGCCUGCUCCACAGCUGUUCAUGCCCACAGUGGUCACCACCACACACCCUUGAACCC